rnacentral:telomerase_RNA from 1 species
UGUGCUACAAAUUUAAAUGCUGUGUUAUUUGUAUCACUAAACACAUAGGUUGAUUUUAAUGAUGCAAAUUAAAUUAACAAAACUAACAAAAUAAAUUAUAAGAGGUGUUGCUUGUCCGUGAGUUCAUCUAUAACAAAAAUGUAACGGAAUGUGCACAGCUUUUUUUUU